ACAUACGUACAGAUAUUUUAGAAGUGCCGCGGGUACAUUCCCAUUAUAAAUAAAAUCCACCCAUUGAGUCCUCAAAUCCUCCAAUGAGGGAGUUUUCAAAAGAGUUUUGUGCUCGUUUGUGCAGCCAACAACAGAGCAAAUGCUGCCUCUUUUUCAGAUCGUACUUUCGCCAUGGUUCUAACUGGAGCAAUGCGAGCGAGCGGCCGGGAAUAAUGGCGCUGUUUUGAUAAUUUUUGGGGCAGGGCAGUGGGCGGCUCCAUGGGCAGUACCAUCAACCUGCCAGCACUGACAUGACGUCAUGUCAGUGGAGUUUUCAGAACGGCCGGCUCUGAGCACACAGUUCCUAAAUACGGAGAUAACCAAAAAACGACUGGAUGGAAUUUUUCCGAACUUGGGGGGGAUUGUAGCGGUUUUCUAUCCCUGAUAUGCACCCCCCUCCCGUUAACAAAGUCAGUUUUUCAUGCCAUGGCCCCUUUAAAAGGAGUUUUUUUUCGUACGUGGCUCCACCUUGGACUCAUAUAUAUGAGUAUACAUAAGUGCGGCGAGCAUAAGCAAUAGCGAGUUAUUGUCAGUGAUCACACAGCUGAUUAAUUACCCCCCCCCCCACACACUCUCUGAGUCACUGAGUCCCCCCCCAAAAAAAAAAUCACACACCACCACCGAUACAUUGAUGCCUUUAAAGUGCAUAUUUAUUGGAACAUCAUAUGAGUUUAUAUGCUUAAAUGAGAUUGUAAAAUUUCAGGUGGAUAUCAUUUCAUUAUUUUCUAAGCGAUCUGAGUUUAUUCAUAUGUUCUGUCGAUAUGGUUUUUCUUUGUCUUUUAAGGAACAAAUGUCACUCAAAAUAAACCAAGAGUUAACUUCUUUGAACCAAAUGUCCUAGCUUGACAUUGACUCACAUGCACUUCAUUUGGCUUUUGGUGUGAAAAGAAUUAAAAAAAUAAAAAGAUAAAAUUGUUG